UACAGAGGUCCCAAGCGUUGUUCGGAUUUAUUGUGCGUAAAGGGUGCGUAGGCGGCGGAGUAAGUUGGGUGUGAAAUCCCGGGGCUCAACCUCGGAAUUGCAUUCAAUACUGCUUCGCUUGAGUACUGGAGAGGAGACUGGAAUUUACGGUGUAGCAGUGAAAUGCGUAGAUAUCGUAAGGAAGGCCGGUGGCGAAAGCGAGUCUCUGGACAGUUACUGACGCUGAUGCACGAAGGCCAGGGGAGCAAACGGG
rnacentral:rRNA from 1 species